rnacentral:rRNA from 1 species
CCCUGGAGUGGGGAAUAACCAGUCGAAAGAUUGGCUAAUACCGCAUAUGGUCAUCGGGGGGCAUCCUCUGGUGAUGAAAGACUCGGCGCUCCAGGAUGGGCCUGCGUUGGAUUAGCUAGUUGGUGCGGUAAUGGCGCACCAAGGCUACGAUCCAUAGCUGGUCUGAGAGGAUGAUCAGCCACACUGGAACUGAAACACGGUCCAGACUCCUACGGGAGGCAGCAGUGGGGAAUUUUGCGCAAUGGAUGCAAGUCUGACGCAGCGACGCCGCGUGGAGGAUGAAGGCCCUUGGGUCGUAAACUCCUUUUAGCGGGGAAUAAAGAGUGGGUGGUAAAUAAUCACUCGCAGUGACGGUACCCACUGAAUAAGCACCGGCUAACUACGUGCCAGCAGCCGCGGUAAUACGUAGGGUGCUAGCGUUGUUCGGAAUUAUUGGGCGUAAAGCGUGUGUAGGUGGACUGGAAAGUUGGGUGUGAAAUCCCGUGGCUUAACUGCGGAAUUGCGCUCAAAACUAUCAGUCUGGAGGACGGUAGAGGUAGGUGGAAUUCCAGGUGUAGAGGUGAAAUUCGUAGAUAUCUGGAGGAACACUCGUGGCGAAGGCGGCCUACUGGGCCGUUCCUGACGCUGAGACACGAAAGCAUGGGUAGCAAACAGGAUUAGAUACCCUGGUAGUCCAUGCUGUAAACGAUGAGUACUAGGCGUGGGAGGGUUUUGACCCUUCCGUGCCGGCGCCAACGCAAUAAGUACUCCGCCUGGGAAGUACGGUCGCAAGAUUAAACUCAAAGAAUUGACGGGGGCCGCACAACCGUGGAGCAUGUGGUUAAUUCGAAGCACGCGAAGAACUUACCUGGGUUGACAUCCCCGGAAGCUGCAGAAUGUAGUCGCCUUCGGGCCGGAGACAGUGCUGCAUGCUGUCGUCGCUCUUGCCUGAGAGUUGGGUAAGUCCGCACGAGCCACCCUUGUCUUAGUGCAGCAUAAGUUGGCAUCUAGGAGCUGCGACUCAAUCGGAGAGGGUGGGAUGACUCAAUCCCAUGGCCUU